CCGUGUAGCCAGAGUGCUCACUGA
rnacentral:misc_RNA from 1 species